rnacentral:rRNA from 1 species
UACGGAGGGUGCAAGCGUUAUCCGGAUUUAUUGGGUUUAAAGGGUCCGCAGGCGGGCCGAUAAGUCAGUGGUGAAAUCUCAUAGCUUAACUAUGAAACUGCCAUUGAUACUGUCGGUCUUGAGUAAAUUAGAGGUAGCUGGAAUAAGUAGUGUGGCGGUGAAAUGCAUAGAUAUUACUUAGAACACCAAUUGCGAAGGCAGGUUACCAUGAUUUAACUGACGCUGAGGGACGAAAGCGUGGGGAGCGAACAGG